rnacentral:lncRNA from 1 species
UUAGUUGACUCCGGGGUUCGUAUAGGCAGGGAGCACAGGCGUAAGGCUGAGAUCGGCUUCCCUAGAGCCUUUCAAACUGGAUGGACCUGCACUUGUUGCUUAAAUGUCUUGAGGCCUGUGUUUCCACAUCUGGGAAAUGGGGAAAUUGUGGUGUUUGCUGUGAAGCUUCCUCAUUGGCUGAUGAACUCAUCUGGUGUUCCUAAGACCAACACCUUCAGUCCCAUUUCACAAAGUCCAAAUCACAAAGGAGGAAACUAUUUAUUUGAUGAAUGCUGUAUUGAAGGCUUCAAGAGACCUUGUACAUAUCCUUUUUCCAACUUGAGACCCCAUCCUUGCCAUUAGAAUAAACUAGAACACUGUCUGCUAGAGGAUUCAAGUAGCUAUAUGCAACUUUUCCGUGCUAUAUACAUAUGGAUGAGUCCAGCCAAGGAUAAGCCCGUAAUCAAAUGCUCCAUACCAUCUGUUUGAGAGUUUUUUGAGACUGGGAUCACUGUCUGGAACCACAGGCCGCCCUCUGAAGGCUGGAGAGGUGGUGACAGCUGAACAAAUGAUGGCGCUACGAGUCCAUGGGUUAGGUUACCUGGGCAUGGGAAUCCCCAUAUAGCCAAUGCCUUCUCGGGUAUUAAGUGUCAGAUAAACACAGCUCCUCAACUGCUA